UACGUAGGGUGCAAGCGUUAUCCGGAAUUAUUGGGCGUAAAGAGCUCGUAGGCGGUUUGUCACGUCUGCUGUGAAAACUGGAGGCUCAACCUCCAGCCUGCAGUGGGUACGGGCAGACUAGAGUGCGGUAGGGGAGAUUGGAAUUCCUGGUGUAGCGGUGGAAUGCGCAGAUAUCAGGAGGAACACCGGUGGCGAAGGCGGAUCUCUGGGCCUGUUCUGACGCUGAGGCGCGAAAGCUAGGGGAGCGAACAGG
rnacentral:rRNA from 1 species